CCCAAAGGGUUAUUGCGUUACUACGGCGAGUGAAGCGGCAAAAGCUCAAAUUUGAAAUCUGGCACCUUCGGUGUCCGAGUUGUAAUUUGAAGAAGGUAACUUUGGAGUUGGCUCUUGUCUAUGUUCCUUGGAACAGGACGUCACAGAGGGUGAGAAUCCCGUGCGAUGAGAUGCCCAAUUCUAUGUAAAGUGCUUUCGAAGAGUCGAGUUGUUUGGGAAUGCAGCUCUAAGUGGGUGGUAAAUUCCAUCUAAAGCUAAAUAUUGGCGAGAGACCGAUAGCGAACAAGUACAGUGAUGGAAAGAUGAAAAGAACUUUGAAAAGAGAGUGAAAAAGUACGUGAAAUUGUUGAAAGGGAAGGGCUUGAGAUCAGACUUGGUAUUUUGCGAUCCUUUCCUUCUUGGUUGGGUUCCUCGCAGCUUACUGGGCCAGCAUCGGUUUGGAUGGUAGGAUAAUGACUAAGGAAUGUGGCUCUACUUCGGUGGAGUGUUAUAGCCUUGGUUGAUACUGCCUGUCUAGACCGAGGACUGCGUCUUUUGACUAGGAUGUUGGCAUAAUGAUCUUAAGCCACCCGUCUUGAAACACGGACCAA
rnacentral:rRNA from 1 species